CCUACGGGAGGCAGCAGUGGGGAAUAUUGCACAAUGGGGGAAACCCUGAUGCAACGAAGCCGCGUGAGUGAAGAAGUAUCUCGGUACGUAAAGCUCUAUCAGCAGGGAAGAAAAUGACGGUACCUGACUAAGAAGCUCCGGAUAACUACGUGCCAGCAGCCGCGGUAAUACGUAGGGGGCAAGCGUUAUCCGGAUUUACUGGGUGUAAAGGGAGCGUAGACGGCAGCACAAGUCUGGAGUGAAAUCCCGGGGCUUAACCCCGGAACUGCUUUGGAAACUGUGCGGCUGGAGUGCAGGAGGGGUAAGCGGAAUGCCUGGUGUAGCGGUGAAAUGCGUAGAUAUUAGGAGGAACACCGGUGGCGAAGGCGGCUUACUGGACUGUAACUGACGUUGAGGCUCGAAAGCGUGGGGAGCAAACAGGAUUAGAUACCCUGGUAGUC
rnacentral:rRNA from 1 species